rnacentral:rRNA from 1 species
AGAGCGAACGCUGGCGGCAGGCCUAACACAUGCAAGUCGAACGCGCCCUUCGGGGUGAGUGGCGGACGGGUGAGUAACACGUGGGAACGUGCCUUUUGGUUCGGAAUAACUCAGGGAAACUUGUGCUAAUACCGAAUGUGCCCUUCGGGGGAAAGAUUUAUCGCCAAAAGAGCGGCCCGCGUCUGAUUAGCUAGUUGGUGGGUAAAGGCCCACCAAGGCUACGAUCAGUAGCUGGUCUGAGAGGAUGAUCAGCCACAUUGGGACUGAGACACGGCCCAAACUCCUACGGGAGGCAGCAGUGGGGAAUCUUGCGCAAUGGGCGAAAGCCUGACGCAGCCAUGCCGCGUGGAUGAUGAAGGUCUUCGGAUUGUAAAGCCCUUUGACAGGGACGAUGAUGACGGUACCCGUAGAAGAAGCCCCGGCUAACUUCGUGCCAGCAGCCGC